UGGGUAACCUGCCUCAAAGAGGGGAAUAGCCUCCCGAAAGGGAGAUUAAUACCGCAUAAUAUGUUUAGGUCGCAUGACUUUAACAUCAAAGGAUUUUCUUUUAGAAAUUCCACUUUGAGAUGGACCCGCGGUGCAUUAGCUAGUUGGUGAGGUAACGGCUCACCAAGGCAACGAUGCGUAGCCGACCUGAGAGGGUNAUCGGCCACAUUGGAACUGAGACACGGACCAGACUCCGUAGGGAGG
rnacentral:rRNA from 1 species